GACGAACGCUGGCGGCGUGCUUAACACAUGCAAGUCGAACGAUGAAGAAGAGAAACGCGAACUUCGGUUCAAAUUUCACUUCGGAUUAGUGGCAGACGGGUGAGUAACGCGUGAGCAACCUACCUCUUACAAAGGGAUAGCCUCGGGAAACCGUGAUUAAUACCAUAUGACACAUUCAUAAGGCAUCUUAAGAAUGUUAAAGCUACGGCGGUAAGAGAUGGGCUCGCGUCCCAUUAGCUAGUUGGUGAGGUAACGGCUCACCAAGGCGACGAUGGGUAACCGGCCUGAGAGGGUGAACGGUCACAUUGGAACUGAGACACGGUCCAAACUCCUACGGGAGGCAGCAGUGGGGAAUAUUGCACAAUGGAGGGAACUCUGAUGCAGCGACGCCGCGUGAGCGAUGAAGGAAUUCGUUUCGUAAAGCUCUGUUCUAUGGGAAGAAAAGGACUGUACCAUAGGAGAAAGCCCCGGCUAAAUACGUG
rnacentral:rRNA from 1 species